rnacentral:rRNA from 1 species
AUGGAGGCUGUGAGCGCCUCGCAUGGCGCAUUUGGUCCCCUGCUGGGGAAGCUCACCACCUUGCUCGCCGAUGAGUGUGCUCGGCUGAAAGGGGUCCGCCGUGAGAUCCGCUCCCUCAGAUCAGAACUCGCGAGCAUGCAUGCUGCACUGAAGGAGUAUACGAAGCUAGAAGACCCAAAUGACCAAGUGAAGACAUGGAUAUCGCUGGUCAGGGAGUUGGCCUAUGAUACCGAGGAUGUCUUCGACAAGUUCAUCCACCAGCUUGGCAGCGGAAGUAAUCAUGGUGGUUUCAAGGAGUUCUUCCGCAAGACCGCUCGUCGUUUCAAGACACUUGGGUCUCGUCGCGGAAUCGCUGACCAAAUUGACGAUCUGAAAGAUCGCAUCAAGCAAGUGAAAGAUCUCAAGGAUAGUUACAAGUUGGAUUAUGCUCCUUCUAGCAUCGCUGGCCCUCCAGUCGUGGAUCCCCGGCUGCAUGCAAUUUUUGCUGAUGAAGCACACCUUGUGGGGGUGGAUGGUCCAAGAGAUGAUCUUGCCAAGUGGAUGUUGGAAGCAAAUAACUUGUCCAAAGGAUGCAAGGUUUUGUCAAUUGUUGGGUUUGGUGGAUUGGGAAAGACAACACUAGCGAAUGAGGUAUGUCGCAAGAUUGAAGGGAAUUUUCAUUGUAAGGCUUUUGUAUCAGUCUCACAAAAACCAGAUGUAAAGAAAAUUAUCAAGGAUGUAAUAUCUCAAGUGGCAUGUGAAGAUGGAUCCACAAAAGAUACUAUUGAUUGGGAUGAAAAGAAGUCCAUUGCCAAGCUAAGAGAACUGCUAGAAAAUAAAAGGUAUCUCAUCAUCAUCGAUGAUGUAUGGUCUACACAAGCAUGGCACGCUAUCAAGUGUGCUUUUCCAGAGAAUGAUUGUUCUAGCAGAAUUAUAGCUACUACACGCAUCAUUGACGUAGCAAAGUCAUGUUGUCUGAGUGCUGACGACCGUGUGUAUGAAUUGGAAGCCCUAAGUGAUCUCCACUCUAGAAGAUUGUUUUUCAAAAGAUUAUUUCGCUCUGAGGAAGAUUGCCCUGAAAUGUUGAAGGAAGUUUCUAAUAAAAUUUUAAAGAAAUGUGGAGGCCUACCAUUGGCAAUUAUCAGCAUAUCUGGUUUGCUAGCAAACCGACCAGCCAUCAAGGAAGAAUGGGAGAAGGUUAAGAGGUCAAUUGGUACUGCACUGGAGAAAACUAACAGUCUAGAGGGCAUGAGUAGCAUACUAUCUCUUAGCUAUAAUGAUCUUGCACCUCAUCUCAAGACUUGCUUGUUGUACCUAAGUUUGUUUCCCGAAGACCAUUUGAUUUACAGAGAUAGGCUAGUGAGGCGAUGGAUAGCAGAAGGCUUCAUCUCUGAAGAGCGUGGACAGAGCAAGCAAGAGGUCGCGGAGAAUUACUUCUAUGAGCUGAUCAACAAAAGUAUGGUCCAACCGGUGGACAUUGAGUAUGAUGGAGAGGUCCGUGCCUGCCGAGUCCAUGACAUGAUGUUAGAAAUUAUCAUUUCAAAAUCAGCUGAAGAUAAUUUUACCACUGUGGUAGGUGGAGGUCAAACGAGUUUGCUAAAUCAUCAAGAUUCAAUUCGGCGGCUAUCAAUCCAGCACAUUGACAAGAAACUUGCAUCUGAACUGGCAAAUGUAGAUCUCAGCCAUGUUCGAACUUUGAUAGUAAUGCCAUCAUGUUGCAUCACACACUUGCCCAGUCUUGAUCGGUUUGAAGCUUUACGUGUUCUGGAUUUUGAAGGUUGUGUGGAUUUAAAGGACUAUGAUAUGGAAGGCAUGGACAAAUUGUUUCAGCUAAAGUACCUCGGCUUUAGGGACACACGUAUAUCAAAGCUACCAGCAGGGAUCGUCAUGCUAGGUAAUCUAGAGACGCUGAAUUUUGAGGGUACAUCUGUGAGAGAGUUACCUGCUAGAAUUACUCUUCUGACUGAACUACGACACCUAAUCGGACGUUUGAACAAGCUACCAUCAGGGAUUGGGGGCAUGAGGAACUUACAGCUGAUGCCAAGAUUUAUUAUUACCAUGCAAGAAACAGAUGUGUUGAAGGAUCUCGGGAACCUGAAAAGUUUGGAGGGACUCGAUGUGGAUCUUGGCGAUGAAGUAUCCUGCGAGGACAAGAGAUGUGAGAAAGAGGCGUUCCUCUCCUCACUGUGCAAGCUUGGCACCUGCAAACUCCGUUCUUUGGAAAUAAAAUCAAAGUACUGUGGUUCCCUCGACUUCUUAGAUUCCUGGUCCCCUCUGCCAUCUUCUCUUCAAAGGUUUGUGGCGGCCUACAGAGAUUCGUUCACGAAACUUCCAAAGUGGAUUACACCAGCACUCAUUAACCUUGCCGACCUCUGGAUCUGCUUAACUGAACUGACGGAAGAUGGGCUGCUUACCCUUGGGCAGCUCCCAUCCUUACUCCGCCUGCAACUACGGUUAUCAAAAAAGUUUAUUGCCACAGUCCAAGUCAUUUCUUUCCCAAAUCUGAAAGCGCUUAACUUCUCAGGAACAGCACAAGCAUAUGUUUCGUUUGCGAAAGGGUCAGUGCCCAAGCUUGAGUCAAUUGAAAUGCCAUUCAAUGCGUCGGAGGCAAAAGCUAAUGGCUUCUAUUCAGGCAUUGAGCAUCUCCAUUGUCUCAAAUUAGCUUACAUAUGGUGUAAUGAAGACGGGACACUACCAGAAAGAAAGGCUGCAGCUGCUGCGAUCAGGAAAGACGCAGAUGCCAAUCCCAACCAUCCUGAAUUUACUUUUGAGAACGAACCAUGGGAAGAGGACAAUGAAGAAACUGGUGCUGGUGACGAGGAGAAGAGCAACGAAGAUGGUGACACUGAUGAGGAUUAA